rnacentral:rRNA from 1 species
AACGCUAGCUACAGGCUUAACACAUGCAAGUCGAGGGGAAACGACAUCGAAAGCUUGCUUUUGAUGGGCGUCGACCGGCGCACGGGUGAGUAACGCGUAUCCAACCUGCCCACCACUUGGGGAUAACCUUGCGAAAGUAAGACUAAUACCCAAUGAUAUCUCUAGAAGACAUCUGAAGGAGAUUAAAGAUUUAUCGGUGAUGGAUGGGGAUGCGUCUGAUUAGCUUGUUGGCGGGGUAACGGCCCACCAAGGCGACGAUCAGUAGGGGUUCUGAGAGGAAGGUCCCCCACAUUGGAACUGAGACACGGUCCAAACUCCUACGGGAGGCAGCAGUGAGGAAUAUUGGUCAAUGGACGAGAGUCUGAACCAGCCAAGUAGCGUGCAGGAUGACGGCCCUAUGGGUUGUAAACUGCUUUUAUGAGGGAAUAAAGUGAGUCUCGUGAGACUUUUUGCAUGUACCUUAUGAAUAAGGACCGGCUAAUUCCGUGCCAGCAGCCGCGGUAAUACGGAAGGUCCGGGCGUUAUCCGGAUUUAUUGGGUUUAAAGGGAGCGUAGGCCGGAGAUUAAGCGUGUUGUGAAAUGUAGACGCUCAACGUCUGCACUGCAGCGCGAACUGGUUUCCUUGAGUACGCACAAAGUGGGCGGAAUUCGUGGUGUAGCGGUGAAAUGCUUAGAUAUCACGAAGAACUCCGAUUG